GGUUGAGCUUCUCUUCUGCUGGGCUUUUUCAGUCUGCAGAAGAGAAGGCUCCAGAGACACUUUAUUGCAGCCUUCCAGUACUUAAAGAGGGCUUCUAAGAAAGCUGGGACACACUUUUUAGUAGUGCCUGCCGCAAUAAGGUAGGGCAUUAUGAUUUUAAAAUAAAAGAUGGUCAAUUCAGACUAGAUGUAAAGGAGACAUUUGCAUAAUGACCGUGGUGAAACCCAGGCACAGAUUGCUCAUAAAGGUGGUAGACAAAUCAUCUCUGGAAGCAUUCAAGGUCAGGCUGGAUGGUACUCUGACCAACCUGAUCUAGUUGAAGAUGUCCCUGCUCCUUCAAGAGCUGGUUGGACUAGAUGGUCUUCAAAGAUUCAAGAGAAGGCUGUUGUGUGCUUCUGAAGUGUAACGGGUUGAAAAUGUUAUGUCAAAAGAAAACACUCUAAUGAAAACAGAUUAUAAUAGCAA